rnacentral:rRNA from 1 species
CCUACGGGCGGCAGCAGUGAGGAAUAUUGGUCAAUGGGCGCGAGCCUGAACCAGCCAAGUAGCGUGCAGGAUGACUGCCCUACGGGUUGUAAACUUCUUUUAUAAAGGAGUAAAGUGAGACACGUGUGCCUUUUUGUAUGUACUUUAUGAAUAAGGAUCGGCUAACUCCGUUCCAGCAGCCGCGGUAAUACGGUGGAUCCGAGCGUUAUCCGGAUUUAUUGGGUUUAAAGGGAGCGUAGAUGGGUUGUUAAGUCAGUUGUGAAAGUUUGCGGCUUAACCGUAAAAUUGAAAUUGAUACUGGCAGACUUGAGUACAGUUGAGGUAGGCGGAAUUCGUGGUGUAGCGGUGAAAUGCUUAGAUAUCACGAAGAACUCCGAUUGCGAAGGCAGCCUACUAAACUGCCACUGACAUUGAUGCUCGAAAGUGUGGGUAUCAAACAGGAUUAGAUACCCUAGUAGUC